rnacentral:rRNA from 1 species
AGUGAACGCUGGCGGCGUGCUUAACACAUGCAAGUCGAACGAGAACGGAUUAUAGCUUGCUAUAAUUGUCAGCUAAGUGGCGCACGGGUGAGUAAUAUAUAGGUAACGUGCCCCAAAGAAGAGGAUAACAGAUGGAAACGUCUGCUAAGACUCUAUAUGCCUUUAUGACAUAAGUCAGCAAGGGAAUAUUAUAGCUUUGGGAUCGGCCUGUACAGUAUCAGUUAGUUGGUGAGGUAAUGGGCUCACCAAGACAAUGACGCUUAACNGGUUUGAGAGGAUGAUCAGUCACACUGGAACUGAGACACGGUCCAGACUCCUACGGGAGCAGCAGUGGG